rnacentral:rRNA from 1 species
GUCUACGGCCAUACCACCCUGAACGCGCCCGAUCUCGUCAGAUCUCAGAAGCAAAGCAGGGUCGGGCCUGGUUAGUACUUGGAUGGGAGAAAAAAUAAGAAGCUAAAAAAA